rnacentral:rRNA from 1 species
AGAGUUUGAUCUUGGCUCAGGAUGAACGCUAGCUACAGGCUUAACACAUGCAAGUCGAGGGGAAACGAUAUUGGAAGCUUGCUUCCGAUAGGCGUCGACCGGCGCACGGGUGAGUAACGCGUAUCCAACCUGCCCAUCACUUGGGGAUAACCUUGCGAAAGUAAGACUAAUACCCAAUGACGUCUCUAGGAGACAUCUGAAGGAGAUUAAAGAUUUAUCGGUGAUGGAUGGGGAUGCGUCUGAUUAGCUUGUUGGCGGGGUAACGGCCCACCAAGGCAACGAUCAGUAGGGGUUCUGAGAGGAAGGUCCCCCACAUUGGAACUGAGACACGGUCCAAACUCCUACGGGAGGCAGUAGUGAGGAAUAUUGGUCAAUGGGCGAGAGCCUGAACCAGCCAAGUAGCGUGCAGGAAGACGGCCCUAUGGGUUGUAAACUGCUUUUAUAAGGGAAUAAAGUUAGUCUCGUGAGACUUUUUGUAUGUACCUUAUGAAUAAGGACCGGCUAAUUCCGUGCCAGCAGCCGCGGUAAUACGGAAGGUCCGGGCGUUAUCCGGAUUUAUUGGGUUUAAAGGGAGCGUAGGCCGGAGAUUAAGCGUGUUGUGAAAUGUAGACGCUCAACGUCUGCACUGCAGCGCGAACUGGUUUCCUUGAGUACGCACAAAGUGGGCGGAAUUCGUGGUGUAGCGGUGAAAUGCUUAGAUAUCACGAAGGACUCCGAUUGCGAAGGCAGCUCACUGGAGCGCAACUGACGCUGAAGCUCGAAAGUGCGGGUAUCGAACAGGAUUAGAUACCCUGGUAGUCCGCACGGUAAACGAUGGAUGCCCGCUGUUGGUCUGAACAGGUCAGCGGCCAAGCGAAAGCAUUAAGCAUCCCACCUGGGGAGUACGCCGGCAACGGUGAAACUCAAAGGAAUUGACGGGGGCCCGCACAAGCGGAGGAACAUGUGGUUUAAUUCGAUGAUACGCGAGGAACCUUACCCGGGCUUGAAUUGCAGGGGAAGGAUUUGGAGACAAUGACGCCCUUCGGGGUCUCUGUGAAGGUGCUGCAUGGUUGUCGUCAGCUCGUGCCGUGAGGUGUCGGCUUAAGUGCCAUAACGAGCGCAACCCCUCUCCUUAGUUGCCAUCAGGUUAAGCUGGGCACUCUGGGGACACUGCCACCGUAAGGUGUGAGGAAGGUGGGGGUGACGUCAAAUCAGCACGGCCCUUACGUCCGGGGCUACACACGUGUUACAAUGGCAGGUACAGA